rnacentral:rRNA from 1 species
AAGGGCACCACCAGGAGUGGAACCUGCGGCUUAAUUUGACUCAACACGGGGAAACUUACCGGGUCCGGACACUGUGAGGAUUGACAGAUUGAGAGCUCUUUCUUGAUUUAGUGAUUGGUGGUGCAUGGCCGUUUUUAGUUGGUGGAUUGAUUUGUCUGGUUAAUUCCGAAAACGAACGAGACCUUAACCUAUUAAAUAGUAUGGUCAACCUGAUCUUCGGAUCUUAUGUUUGGUAUUUGAUACUUCUUAGAGGGACUCUUUAUAUUUUAGUAAAUGGAAGUUUAAGGCAAAAACAGGUCUGUGAUGCCCUUCGAUGUUCCGGGCUGCACGCGCGUUACACUGAUAUCUUCAAUAAGUACUUUCCUAGUUUGAAAAGACCGGGUAAACUUUGAAACGGAUAUCGUGAUUGGGAUAGUGCUUUGUAAUUAUCGCACUUGAACGAGGAAUUCCUAGUAGGUACAAGUCAUCAACUUGUGCCGAUUACGUCCCCGCCCUUUG